AAACAGUCCCCUAUGUUUUGAUUCUUUAGCAGUUUUGGACCCCCAAGGCAAAAAAAAAAAAAUUUGACAAGUGGCACCUCACUUAGGGUGCCACGUCAGCGUUGACCGAGUCAACAAUGGAUUGGGGGUCCAAAAAAUCAAAACAUAGGGGGCUGUUU
rnacentral:pre_miRNA from 1 species